AAGCUUCAGAUCUUACUUAUGAUUAUUUUGAAUUGAAUAGAUUUGAGUUAAGUUUUGGAAAUAAAUAAGUAUGUAGUGAAAAGUUAGUCGUUGAAGUUUAUAUCCGUUUGAUUACUCUAUUUUCAUUUAACAUCUAAGGUUAUGAUAUCUUAGGUGAGUUUACACUAGUAUAAUUAAAGGAUUUUAUAAUAAGGUUAAAAAUACUUUAUUUUAGUAAGUUUGUUAUAAUAUUUGUUGUUAUUAUGUAUGGUUAAUGUUUGUAGUAAUCUAUUGAAUAUUUAGUAUUUAACUAUUAUUAAAUGAGUAAUAUUAAUAUGUUGUGUUAUUUCUCAAGUUUUGUCCGUCUGUUUAUUAAAAACAUUUCUAAAUUUAAGUUUAUUUAGUAAUACCUGCCCCAUGCUUGUUGUAAAUGGCCGCAGUAUAUUGACUGUGCGAAGGUAGCAUAAUUAAUUGCCUUAUAAUUGAAGGCUUGUUUGAAUGGUUUGACGAGAUAAAUAUAAAUAUCACAUAUAUGUUUGAAAUUAAUUU
rnacentral:rRNA from 1 species